rnacentral:rRNA from 1 species
CGUAGGGCGGAGCGUUGUCCGGAUUUAUUGGGCGUAAAGAGCUCGUAGGCGGCUCGGUAAGUGAGGUGUGAAAACUACCAGGCUCAACCUGGAGACGCCACCUCAUACUGCCGUGGCUAGAGUCCGGUAGGGGAGCAUGGAAUUCCUGGUGUAGCGGUGAAAUGCGCAGAUAUCAGGAGGAACACCAGUGGCGAAGGCGGUGCUCUGGGCCGGAACUGACGCUGAGGAGCGAAAGCGUGGGAGCAAACAGGAUU